ensembl:snoRNA small nucleolar RNA SNORA51
GGCUUCUUAGUGCUUACACAGGCUGUUUGCUUAUAAUAACUGUACAGAAUGAGGAGGCAGAAUAAAUCUAUUCUAUGUACACCUCAGCCCAGGUCCUUUGCCUAGUCUGUAUUAUGAAUAGGGGGACAUGG